GAGUGAUCUAGCCAUGAGCAGGUUGAAGGUGCGGUAACACGUACUGGAGGACCGAACCCACUUAUGUUGAAAAAUGAGGGGAUGACCUGUGACUAGGGGUGAAAGGCCAAUCAAACUCGGAAAUAGCUCGUACUCCCCGAAAUGCAUUUAGGUGCAGCGUUGGUUAAAAGUUUUAUAGAGGUAGAGCUACUGAUUGGAUGCGGGGGCUUCACCGCCUACCAAUUCCUGACAAACUCCGAAUGCUAUAAAAUGAUGCACAGCAGUGAGGGCAUGGGUGCUAAGGUCCAUGUCCGAGAGGGAAAGAACCCAGACCAUCAGCUAAGGUCCCAAAAUAUAUGUUAAGUUGAAUAAACGAGGUUGGAUUGCACAGACAGCUAGGAUGUUGGCUUGGAAGCAGCCAUUCAUUUAAAGAGUGCGUAACAGCUCACUGGUCGAGCGGUCCCGCAUGGAUAAUGAUCGGGCAUAAGCACAUUACCGAAGCUAUGGCAUCGAAAGAUGGGUAGGGGAGCAUUCUGUUCGGCGCCGAAGGUGCACUGUGAGGUGUGCUGGAGCGUACAGAAACGAAAAUGUAGGCAUAAGUAACGAUAAUGCGGGCGAGAAACCCGCACACCGAAAGACUAAGGUUUCCUCAGCGAUGCUAAUCAGCUGAGGGUUAGUCGGGACCUAACGCGAACCCGAAAGGGGUAGUGGAUGGACAACAGGUUAAUAUUCCUGUACCUGCUCACACUAAACGUGACGGAGGCGAAAAGUUAGUGCGCACAGACGGAAUUGUGCGUUAAAGAGAGUGGUAACACCUUGAUAGUACACUAAGACUACGGUCGCGGUGAUAAUCUAGCGAAUCGACUUCCAAGAAAAGCGAGUGAAGCAGCCCGUACCCUAAACCGACACAGGUAGUUGGGAUGAGAAUUCUAAGGUGCUCGAGAGAUUCAUGGCUAAGGAACUAGGCAAAAUAGACCUGUAACUUCGGGAGAAAGGUCGCCACCCUUUGGGGUGGCCGCAGUGAAAAGGUCCAGGCGACUGUUUAUCAAAAACACAGGGCUUUGCUAAAUUGAAAGAUGAUGUAUAAGGCCUGACACCUGCCCGGUGCUGGAAGGUUAAGUGGAGGGCUUAGAGAUUUAUCUCGAAGGUCUGAAAUGAAGCCCCAGUAAACGGCGGCCGUAACGAUAACGGUCCUAAGGUAGCGAAA
rnacentral:rRNA from 1 species